AGUGAACGCUGGCGGUAGGCCUAAUACAUGCAAGUCGAACGGCAGCACAGUAAGAGCUUGCUCUUACGGGUGGCGAGUGGCGGACGGGUAAGGAAUACAUCGGAAUCUACUUUUUCGUGGGGGAUAACGUAGGGAAACUUCUGCUACCACAGAAUAUGUCGAACGGCUGAAUGCAGGGGUUCUUGGGACUUUUGCCGUUUCAUUGAGCUGAUGUCGGAUUAGCUAGUUGGCGGGGUAAAGGCCCACCAAGGCAACGAUCCGUAGCUGGUCUGAGAGGAUGAUCAGCCACACUGGAACUGAGACACGGUCCAGACUCCUACGGGAGGCAGCAGUGGGGAAUAUUGGACAAAGGGCGCAAGCCUGAUCCAGCCAUACCGCGUGGGUGAAGAAGGCCUUCGGGUUGUAAAGCCCUGUUAUUGGGAAAGAAAAGCAGCAGGUUAAUACCCCGCUGUUCUGACGGUACCCAAAGAAUAAGCACCGGCUAACUUCGUG
rnacentral:rRNA from 1 species